CGCGCGAUACAGGGUGACAGCCCCGUACACAAAAGCGCAUGUGCUGUGAGCUCGAUGAGUAGGGCGGGACACGUGGUAUCCUGUCUGAAUAUGGGGGGACCAUCCUCCAAGGCUAAAUACUCCUGACUGACCGAUAGUGAACCAGUACCGUGAGGGAAAGGCGAAAAGAACCCCGGCGAGGGGAGUGAAAAAGAACCUGAAACCGU
rnacentral:rRNA from 3 species